rnacentral:rRNA from 1 species
GACGGGGCCCGCACAAGCGGUGGAGCAUGUGGUUUAAUUCGAAGCAACGCGAAGAACCUUACCAGGUCUUGACAUCCCCUGACAACCCAAGAGAUUGGGCGUUCCCCUUCGGGGGACAGGGUGACAGGUGGUGCAUGGUUGUCGUCAGCUCGUGUCGUGAGAUGUUGGGUUAAGUCCCGCAACGAGCGCAACCCUCGCCUCUAGUUGCCAGCAUUCGGUUGGGCACUCUAGAGGGACUGCCGGCGACAAGUCGGAGGAAGGUGGGGAUGACGUCAAAUCAUCAUGCCCCUUAUGACCUGGGCUACACACGUGCUACAAUGGGCGGUACAAAGGGCUGCGAACCCGCGAGGGGGAGCGAAUCCCAAAAAGCCGCUCUCAGUUCGGAUUGCAGGCUGCAACUCGCCUGCAUGAAGCCGGAAUCGCUAGUAAUCGCGGACCAGCAUGCCGCGGUGAAUACGUUCCCGGGCCUU